rnacentral:rRNA from 1 species
AUUGAACGCUGGCGGCAGGCCUAACACAUGCAAGUCGAGCGGAUGCUGGUAGCUUGUACCUGGCUUCCGCGGCGGACGGGUGAGUAAUGCCUAGGUUUCUGCCUGGUAGAGGGUGAUAACGUCUGGCAACGGGCGCUGAUCCCGCAUACGUUCUGAGGGAGAAAGUGGGGGAUCUUCGUACCUCAUGCUCUCAUAUGAGCUUAGGUCGGAUUAGCUAGUUGGUGGGGUAAGGGCCUAGUACGGAGACGAUCCGUAACUGGUCUGAGAGGAAGAUCAGUCACACGGGAACGAGGACACGGACCAGACUCCGACGGGAGGCAGCAGUGGGGAAUAUUCGACAAGGGGCGGAAGCCUGUUCCAGACAUGCCGCGUGUGUGAAGAAGGGCUACAGAGUGUAAAGCACUUUAAGUUAGGAGGAAGGGCAGUAAGUUAAUACCUGGCUGUUAUGACGUUACCAACAGAAAAAGCACCGGCUAACUUCGUG